rnacentral:rRNA from 1 species
GAGCGGCGAAUGGGUGAGUAACGCGUAAACAAUCUGCCCCGCAAUCGGGAACAACCGUGCCAACGCGCGGCUGAUGCCGGAUAUUGUGGCGCCCCGCAUGGGGCGUUGACGAAAGAUUUAUCGAUGCGGGAUGAGUUUGCGUCCAAUUAGCUAGUUGGCGGGGCAACGGCCCACCAAGGCGACGAUCGGUAGCCGGCCUGAGAGGGCGAUCGGCCACAUUGGGACUGAGAUACGGCCCAGACUCCUACGGGAGGCAGCAGUAGGGAAUAUUGCGCAAUGGGGGAAACCCUGACGCAGCAACUCCACGUGUGGGAUGAAGCAUUUCGGUGUGUAAACCACUGUCGAGAGGGAAUAAUGUUUCGCUUCGGCGGAAUUGAAUGUACCUCUAAAGGAAGCACCGGCAAACUUCGUGCCAGCAGCCGCGGUAAUACGAGGGGUGCAAGCGUUGUUCGGAAUCACUGGGCGUAAAGGGAGCGUAGGCGGAAUGACAAGCAUGCUGUAUAAUCCCGGGGCCCAACCCCGGUUCUGCAGUUUGGACUGUUGUUCUUGAGUUAUUCAGAGGCAAGCGGAAUUCCUGGUGUAGCGGUGGAAUGCGUAGAUAUCAGGAAGAACACCAAUGGCGAAGGCAGCUUGCUGGGGAUAAACUGACGCUGAGGCUCGAAAGCGUGGGUAGCAAACAGGAUUAGAU